UACGGAGGGUGCAAACGUUGCUCGGAAUCACUGGGCGUAAAGCGCUCGUAGGCGGUUUGUCAAGUCAGAUGUGAAAUCCCCGGGCUUAACCUGGGAAGUGCAUUUGAAACUGGCAAGCUAGAGGUUGGGAGGGGGUAGCGGAAUUCCCGGUGUAGAGGUGAAAUUCGUAGAUAUCGGGAGGAACACCAGAGGCGAAGGCGGCUACCUGGACCAAUACUGACGCUGAGGAGCGAAAGCGUGGGGAGCAAACAGGAUUAGAUACCCUGGUAGUCCACGCUGUAAACGAUGAGUGCUAGACGUUGCGCGUUUUAACACGUGCAGUGUCGCAGCUAACGCAUUAAGCACUCCGCCUGGGGAGUACGGCCGCAAGGCUAAA
rnacentral:rRNA from 1 species